AUGUUUAAGUCUACUAUGACUCUGCGAUAACUACAUUUAAACUCAAAAUUUAGUGAAGUUCUAUGAUGAGAGUCUAAAACUGAGAACUUUUCUAGUUUUGAGCACAACCCGAGUGUCUGUAAAUCAGUCUGAUGCUUUAUGCAUGAGUGUUAUAAAUGAAUUGGUUAGUUAUAAAAUAUUUUGUAGUUGCAGCUUGGAUGUUGCAUGAUAAAGAAAGCUAGAGACAAACUCAAUUUUCUUUAUCAUGGUUACAGUAGUUAUAAAACUCAUGUUUAAUAUUAAUUGGUGUUUGUAACUUGAGUUAUAGGUUCUGCAAUGUGACUGAUAGCUGAAUGCUCAUUGGAAGUUGAAUGUCUAAUGAAUGAUUCAUGAGUUUUAGAAGUAACCUUGUAACUUUAUAGUUUUCAUGUUCUGUAGCUAAAUGUAUAAUUUUAUUGACAUGAAAAAAUUACAAUGUAUAAAAUCAUCUCAAUUUUUGGGCUUUAGCACUCUUGCCUGGUAGUCAUACAAAGAUUUCAGCAGAUAUCAGCAUGUGGUGCAAACGUAAAGACAUGAAAUUUCACAUAGACAUCCACAAGUUUCCAUUACUCUAUAAUUUCAUUUGUAUGUUUUUAGUGUAUYUGURAUUGCUAAAUUGCUAAACUGGGACAAUAUUGAUCAGUGUAAAAUAAUUUUUAGUCUAGUGUUACAGUUCUAAUAGAGAUUAGUUUAUCCCCCUCCCCCCCAAUAGUAUACAUAAUGAAUGCAGCCUAAAAGGUAAAUGUUGUAAAAAAAAAAACACGACACAGACCAACCAAUAAAGUGUGAAAAAACUUUGA